GCCAAGACUCCUUCCAAAAUUAGGGGUCCCUGAGUAGGUACAGCAGACUCCUUAUUAAAAUUUAUUUAAUGUACUGUGGACAGGGGGUGGGUGGGACCCCUCCUCACACAUCAUCCCCUUGUUUUCUUCCAAGGGCAAGGAAGGAAAGAGUGGAGGGUAGAACAGGAGAGGGGGUGAGGUGUGGAGGAACCGCUGCUAUGAAUCUGUAAUAGCCUCUUUGGGGAGAUCGUCCCGCCCCUCAUCCUCUUCUCCUCCCCCCUCAUUUUUGUGGGGGGGACUGAGAGAGACGCACGCAUACACAAAUCCUUCAGCAACUGGCUGGAUCUCUUCUCCCACCCACCCCCACUCCCCACCAUGACAACAAAUCCAGCAUUAGAAUCGCCAUCCACCCCAUGGCCACACAGCAGGCUGCUGAUGGAUGAGGAAGAAUCUUUGGUACCUGGAUGCGCUCCCCAAAGCCCAGAGAGUAGCUGAAGCGGGACGUAGCCAAUGUCGUCCAGCAAAGGGGCGGGGGCUGGAGCUCGCCGGCGGCGGACGCGGUGCCGGAAGUGUAAAGCUUGCCUGCGGUCAGAGUGUGGGGAGUGCCACUUCUGCAAGGACAUGAAGAAGUUUGGGGGACCUGGGCGCAUGAAGCAGUCGUGCCUCCAGAGGCAGUGCACUGCGCCAGUUCUACCUCACACAGCCGUGUGCCUGGUGUGUGGGGAGGCCGGGAAAGAAGACACGGUGGAGGGUGAAGAGGAGAAGUUCAACCUGUCGCUCAUGGAGUGUACCAUCUGCAAUGAGAUUGUGCAUCCAGGCUGCUUAAAGAUGGGGAUUGCCGAAGGGGUCAUCAACAACGAAAUUCCAAACUGCUGGGAAUGUCCCAAGUGUAAGAGAGAAGGCAAAUCAAUGAAAGACUCAGGUGAUGGCAUGGGGAAGCGGCGCUCGGACAACGGCGAGGACGGGGUCCGGUGGAAGCUGACAGACGAGCCUGCGCAGAACAAGAAGAAACUGGCGCCAGCUCCCCCUCUGCCCCCGCCAUCUGCUGAAGAGAGCCAGGUUCAGGCUGGAGCCCACAAGCGCAAGAAGGAGAAGGAGCUGCCGCCUCCAGACACGGGGCCCAAGAAAAAGUUAAAAGGCACACGGGAAAAGCAUUUGAAAAAGACCACUGAGCAGCCGCCCGAUGGGAACAAGCUGCAGUCCAUGCAGCCCUGGAGCCGCAUGGGCAGCGGAGACUUCGAGGUGAAGGGGACCAUCUCCCACCCAUCCAUCCACCUGAACCAGAUCACGGCCAGCGACCUGGAGAAGCCGAAGGUUCCCCAAGGCCCUUUGGAGCCCUCGUCCCAGUCAGACAAGUCCCAUCAGCGGGAGAAGCUGGAGCGCUUCAAGCAGAUGUGCCAGAUGUUGGAGAGGGUGAAGAACAGCAGCAGUUCGAGUUCCAGCUCAGAUUCGGACUCAGACACGGACUCCCGGGGCUCGGACGGCUCCAGCGGGGGGGUGUCCAGCCGGGCCGCCUCCCCAGCCACCCGUUCCCAGCGCCUGGCUGCCCUGGGCUUCAGCACCAGCGAGGAGGAGGAGGACGAGGAUGAGGACGACGAAGAGGAGGGUGGGCGGCGCAACGGUGGCUCAGAGACAGCGCGGAAUGGCAAACAACCGAAAGCUCGGGGGAACUCUCAGGAGAAAGAGAACAAUCAUCGCCCGUCCAGCCGGGGGACAGAGCGGGCCAAGCAGCAAGUGGGCGGGCGCAAGGCGGGCCGGCCCGCUGGGCAGACAGGGCUGCGCAUGGUGGCCCGGACUCAGUUCCUCCACUGGCCGCUGGUGCCCUCCCCGCCCAAGCCCUUGCUGCAGCUGGAGCGGCACGUGGUCCGGCCUCCCCCCGACAGCCCCGAACCCGACUCCCUGCCCUUGGACAGCGGUUCUGACCACAUUGUGCAGCGGGACAUUUGGUUGGCCGUCUUCCAAUACCUCAGCUAUCGGGAGCUGUGCGUCUGCAUGAGGGUGUGCCGGACGUGGAGCCGCUGGUGCUGUGACAAGCGGCUUUGGACACACAUUGACCUGAGCCGUCGGAAAUCCAUUACCCCCUCCAUGCUAAGUGGCAUCAUCCGCCGGCAACCUGCCAGUCUUGACCUUAGCUGGACCAACAUCUCCAAAAAGCAGCUGAUGUGGCUUCUAAACAGGCUACAAGGCCUCAAAGAGCUCAUCCUGACAGGCUGCUCCUGGUGCUCUGUGUCGGCACUCAGCACAGCCAGCUUCCCCUCCCUACGGCUCCUGGAUUUGCGCUGGAUCGAGGACGUCAAGGACUCGCACCUCCGCGAGCUGCUGUUGCCUGCCACGGACGCCAGGCCGGGCCAGACCGACAGUCGGGGCCGGCUCCAGAAUGUUUGUGAGCUGCGGCUCUCCGGGCUGGACAUCACGGACUCGUCAUUGCGCUUGGUGAUCCGGCACACCCCCCAGCUAACCAAACUGGACCUGAGCCACUGCAACCAUGUGGGCGACCAGUCUGUUAACCUGCUGACCACUGCUAAUUCCCCGCUCCGAGAGACCCUUGCCGAGCUCAACCUCGCCGGAUGCAACCGGCUGACAGACCAGUGUCUGCCCCUUUUCCGCCGCUGCCCCCGCCUCUCCCGCAUCGACCUGCGCUCCUGCCACCACAUCACGCCGGAGGCCUGCGCCCGCUUUGCGGAGGACUCCGUCUCCAACAGCACCUCCGCGCCCCCGGCCCCCGGUUCAGCACCGCCGUUCCGUUGCCCCGAGGAGAAACUGCUCCUGAAAGACAGCUAAUACCCACCCUGGGGUGGAGGCGUGGGGCACUCUGCCUCCCCAGUUGGACAACCGGACACGGACUCUGAGAGAACCUUUUUACUUAAAGCCAUGCACUGAACCGGAGUGGCGUCUCCGCCCCCUUACGUGUGCAGCGAGGAGGGGGCGGACUGUGCUCCCCCCCGGGUCCGGCCUGCCGAGGGACAGGCUGCCUUUCGCUCCAUCCUCUCGUUCCAGGACGCCGCCACGGAGUGAGUGGGGCCCGAGGUAGCCUUGUUGCUUCACCGUGCUGGGAAAGGCGCGCUCCCCCCACCAUGCACUGCAUCGCCCCACCCCCCUCCCCCCCGGCCCGUGGCACGGCUGGUACCACGCUCUCGUGGGGUCGGGGGAGGGCGGCUGGCGCUCGGCCUUGAAACGCUGGCUCAGGAGUGUCUUUCUGUGGACAGUCAGAAGCCACCUGGCACAUCACCUCCACCUGCGCAUUGGGAAGUGGGAAGAGGGCGUGAGGUUGUAUUUUCACAUUGGUAACCAUAACUUUUUUGAAAUAUAUACUUGAACGUUCAUUUAUUACUAAAACAUUACUUGAAAAACGCAGCGAUAGGUUGUGGAAUCGGAGGCGAGGUUUUCGGUGGUUUUUUUUUUUUUUUAAGGUUCUGUUGGGUGCUUUUUUAUUGUUUUAAGAAAAUCGGUUCUUUUUGUUAUUGCCUUGUUUGUUUUAUUUUCAUUUGUCUGAUUUAAAGAAAAUCUUUCCCUCUCACUCCAUUAGCCAAAGAGGGCUAAGGUAUCUUAAUUCUGCCCCUCCCAGAGGUGUUUAUUUUUCAUUCAAGGGUUUUCACCUUCCUUGGGAAGCCGUUAGAAGCUCCUAAAGGGACGUACUCCGUAUCUGAAGAGUCUCAUAGCAGGAUAACACAAUGGGGGUGGGAGACAGUAGAUCGCAUUUUUGUUGGGGGGGUCUAAGUCAAGCAUCCUCCGUCACGCGGAAAACGUUACCUGCAUUUUCGGCACAGCGUAAUUAUGUACUGUAACACCUCGCUUUCAUUCAUUGUCUCCCCCCACUCCAAAUCUGCGUAUUCUGUGGUGCAAAUCAGAUUAGUUGGCUCACCCCCCCCCCCCGGAAACACCCCACCCACCCCUCGUGUGGCUUUGAGCCUGCCACAAAGCAAAAUUGUACACUAAGACGCAGGGUUCAUUGCGUGCUCAGCAGGGGCUGGGUGGCACGGCGGGUGGUAUGAAUGGGGGGGGCACCCCCCCUGUGCCAUGUCGACCCCCCCCCCGCCGCCCCUGGCUUCCCUGCACCGACUAAUCACAGUGAUGGGCUGUGGAGGUGCUGUUUCGAACCACGUUUUAAGGUUUGUUUCGUUUCGUUUUGUUCCUAAACUUUGUUUUUAAUGGAUGUUUUAAGUAAAAAAAGAAAAAGGAAAGAAAGAAAAAUACCUCAGGUUUAAAUAGAAAUGGUGAAGAGGAAAAAAACCCGACAUCAUCAAAGGGUGUGUUACUAUCUCGACGGCUGUGGAUGGGGCUGUGGGUCGGCAGACGGCCCGACCGACCGGGAGAGGGGUUUUGGUUUAGCCCAGCGCCCACUGCGGAUGGGGGGAGCCCACCGUUCCAGGCCCUCUGCUGAACUUUUCCCACCCACAAUCACGCGAAAGGCAUACUCGCAAUCAGUACACAGGCUGCUGUCUCUGAAACCCACACGGAUUGCUCCCGGAAUGCUAGAAGAACAUGGUGGAAUGUCUUUGGAUACCCUCCUCCGCCCAAAACAUCCUCUUGUUUUCUGCUCCUCAUAUCCCACGGAUCUAGUCUCCCAUGAAAGGUUUUAAGGGAUUUUGUUUUCCUAGCAGCUAUACCAUGGAAUAUGUUCUGGGCACACACACACACACACACACACACACACACACACACACGUGCAAAUACAGGCCUCUUCCCAAUUUAGCGGACCAAAGCUAUAUUCCCACUCCUCUCCCCUCUCCCUCCCGGCAGCCAACUGAUUCUUCAUCCUUUGGCUACAAUUUUAAUCGCACAUGUGCCCAUUUUUCUCCCCUUCACCUAUCCAUCGAGACAAAGACAGCCAGGGGGGAGAAAGCAAAAAUACAAAAUAAAAUAAAAUAUAAAAAUCAAAAUCCAGUUUGGAGCCAUGUGUCUUUCGCAAUGUUCAACCUGCACACCUCCAUCCCUGGCCCCCCGGGACUGUUUGGAUGGGGGCGGGGGGUGGGGGGGCGUGAGACCGGGUUCCGAUCUGAAUUUCAGGGGUUCUAUUAUUGUACAAUAACUGUUUGCUAUAUAAACAAAACAAAAAUCAAAAAAGGAAUCGCGUUUUGGUCUUAAA